GAUGAACGCUGACAGAAUGCUUAACACAUGCAAGUCGAUGGGGAAGUGGUGCUUGCACCAUGGCAACCAUGGCGGACGGGUGAGUAACGCGUAAGGGACUUACCUGCAGGACUGGGGUAACAGGGGGAAACUCCUGACAAGACCGGAUAAUGUCAUGGAGCUGCAUGGCUUUAUGAUGAAAGGAGACGCCUGCGGAGAGCCUUGCGUCCUAUUAGCUAGUUGGUGAGGUAAUGGCUCACCAAGGCGAAGAUAGGUAGCCGGCCUGAGAGGGUGGACGGCCACAAGGGGACUGAGAUACGGCCCUUACUCCUACGGGAGGCAGCAGUGGGGAAUAUUGGACAAUGGGGGCAACCCUGAUCCAGCAAUUCUGUGUGCACGAAGAAGGUUUUCGGAUUGUAAAGUGCUUUCAGCAGGGAAGAAGUAAGUGACGGUACCUGCAGAAGAAGCGACGGCUAAAUACGUG
rnacentral:rRNA from 1 species